GAGGACUUAGCUUAAUAAAAGUGAAUGAUUUGCAAUCAUUAGAUGUAAGAUGUGAACUUACAGUCCUUA
rnacentral:tRNA from 1 species